rnacentral:lncRNA from 1 species
CACCUGAAUUUUUGAUGCGUUGAGGGGGGCAUAGCUGCGGAAUCUUCCUGGGGGAGAGCCCCACCGAACUCUGCGGUCCGGGCUUCUCUGCCUGCGUGCUCGGGGAGGAGUCUGGGCGUGCUUGUGCCCGGGAGGAGUCCGAGAAUGUGGCCGAGCUUCACUCGGCCCUCUUUCAACUGCAGGCUUGCUGGAGUCGCCCGCCUGCCGCUCCUUCGCAGCUUCCUCAUCCUUCAGCUUGAAGGCUUCCUCCGCUCGGGCAU